AGCAAUUAGGAUGUGGACAAUUGCUUGGACCGGUAUUCCGUUUGUGAUAUGCUUUUCAAACGGAAUGAAAGCAUACCUUUUUUUAAACAACUUGUGACUGGAGGUGAAAAAUGGAUUGUGUACGAAAACGCAGUGCGGAAAAGAUCCUGGGGGUUCUCGUAAGGAUCCCCAAAAACAGCUGCCAAAGACGAAUAUCCACGCCAAAAAUGCUAUGCUUUGUGUUUGGUGGGAUCAUAAAAGCAUUAUUUAUUAUGAGCCUCUCUCACAAAACCAGACCAUUAAUUCGGAUCUGUACUGUCAUCAGCUGGCUAAUUUGAAACAAACAAAAAAAAUCAAAGAAUUGAGGCCGG